UGUUGACGAAUAUUUUAGGUCGUGGGUGAUUUUCAGGCCGUUUUUGCCCUGAAUGUUCGGAAUGCUAUCAUUCUCGAUCGGCGAAUAAAUAGCAUAGGAAGGUUGGGGUUUCGUAAAGUACAAACUAUCCCACUUCUCGACUAUGGCGUUUUCUGCAAGUCAGUUCUCAAAGUCGAAGAUGCAUUGGUUGAAAAUGUCAACGAAACACUCCUUAUGUACGAUUUAGAAGCCCUCUGGAUAGAGGUUAACAUAGAAUUCACCGGCUUGAACGGCACUGAAGUAAUUGACCUC